rnacentral:rRNA from 1 species
UGAGGAAUAUUGGUCAAUGGGCGCAAGCCUGAACCAGCCAUGCCGCGUGCAGGAUGACGGUCCUAUGGAUUGUAAACUGCUUUUGUACGGGAAGAAACCCUCCUACGUGUAGGAGCUUGACGGUACCGUAAGAAUAAGGAUCGGCUAACUCCGUGCCAGCAGCCGCGGUAAUACGGAGGAUCCAAGCGUUAUCCGGAAUCAUUGGGUUUAAAGGGUCUGUAGGCGGUCUUGUAAGUCAGUGGUGAAAGCCCAUCGCUCAACGAUGGAACGGCCAUUGAUACUGCAGGACUUGAAUUAUUGGGAAGUAACUAGAAUAUGUAGUGUAGCGGUGAAAUGCUUAGAUAUUACAUGGAAUACCAAUUGCGAAGGCAGGUUACUACCAAUUUAUUGACGCUGAUGGACGAAAGCGUGGGGAGCGAACA